GCCGGCCCGCCGCCCGCUCUCCCACAGCCGCCCGCCCGCCCAGCGCGGAACAACUUCGGGGCCCGCCCCCUUCCUCCGCCUGCCCCCGCCCCCGCCGCCCGGAACCGCCCCCGAGCGCAGCCCCCGCCCCGCCCGCGGCCCGCACUUGGCGCGCCCAGCCCCGCCCCCCGCGCGCUUUACCUUCUCGCCGCGGGGCAUGCGCGGGCGGUCUGGACGGAGGCUGCCGGGGGUGGCGAGCGGAGCUUGUUUCCUCCUAGCCCCGCGCGGGCGCCACGCCCCGCCGCAUUUUCCGGGCCCCGGGCUCGGCCGCUCGCCGCAGAGAGAGCAGGCCGCUAAGGAGGCGGGCGCCCGGGCCUGCCCGGACAGGAAGUGGGCCCAGGUUUCCCACUCCUCGCUCAGCGCCUUCCUCCAUGAAAGGGCAGGCCCUGGAGGCCGCGAGCGUCCAGGCGGUGGCCGGGCAGCCGGAUGCUCCCGGGUGACGGGCUGUGGCCCCGGAGGCUGAGGGCAGCGCGGGUGCAGUGGAGGCAGGGAAGCCGCGGGCCGGCCUUCUCGCUGGCCACGGCGCCCUGUACGGACGAUCAAUGAAUGGACAUUACUCAAGUAUUUAUCGAGAACUCUCAGUGGGCUAGGUGCGGUUCAGGUUGUGUGAAUGCGCAGAUCAACAAACCCGAAGACCCUGCCUUAGGGGAGCUUUCGUUUCAAUGCGGGGAUGAAUGCAGUUUUGCCCUAAUAACUUUUGGGACCCUCCCGCCAUCAUUAAUUAAUUAGACACAUCUCACCCAAAGUCUACCUUAAAUAUUAAUCAGAAGAAGUGGAAAAAUAAACAGAAAAAGCAAAAAAUGAACUUUCUCAUUGAAAGUUUCUAUUUAAUAGUAAGUCUUAUAAGUACUCCUGGAAGGACAAAAGGCGUUUUUAAUAAAUUAAUUUGUAUUUGCAAAUAUUGGAUUUAAUCCUACCAAUAAUGAAGGAGUCAAUUACUUUCUAGACGUACAGAAAUACAUAAUGAACAAGGAGCUAUUCCUAUUCCGUUUUUUAUUAGGUCCACGGUUAUUUCACUUCUAAGUAAAUAUGAUUUCUUAAAAGUGGCAGAGGGUGAAAUGUAUAUUGAGACAGGAUGGAGUUCCUAGAGAAAUUUUACUUCCUUAAUUUACACUCCACCUUACUUAGCAUACAGUACUGGGUCUGUAACUCCCUUAUCUGACUCUCAAGGAAAUGAAAAAGUCAUGCCUAGAUUGGAUUAGACCUCAUUUCACUUCAUGCCUAACCCUUCUCGAAGUUGAACCUUAGUCUUUUGAGGAACAGAAAGAUCAAGAACUCUGAAGCACCUCGAUUUUCCAUCUGUGAAGAUGUGUUCAAAUUUUCAACUUGCAGCCACAUCUCUGAGGUUGACCUUUAUACAACUGGUUUCUUUAUAGGGUCACUCCCUCUGGAGGAAGCCAGCUGGCACAUUGUGAAGAUCCUCAGUCCUGUGGAGGCAAAUCCUCCAUAUGGCUGAGGCCUGCUGCCAGCAACCAGCACUGACUUGCCAGGUAUAUGAUUGUGCCAUCCCGGAAGCAGAUUUUCCAGCCCCAGUCAAGCCUUCAGAUGAUGUCAGCCCCUGCUGAUCUCUUGACUGCAACCCCAUUAGAGACCAUGAGACAGAACUAGCCAGGCUUAGCACAGUGGCUCAUGCCUGUGAUACCAGCACUUUGGGAGGCCAAGUACAGAGGAUUGCUUGAGCUCAAGAAUUCAAGACCAACCUGGGCAACAUAGCAAGACCUCAUCUCUACUAAAAAAAAAAAAAAAAAAAAAAAAAAAAGAAAGAAAGAAAAAAAUUAGCUGGGCAUAGUGGCAUGCACCUGUAGUCCCAGCUACUCAGGGGCUGAGGCAGGAGGAUAUCUUGACCCAGGUGGUUGAGAACACAAUGAGCCAUCACUGCAUCACUGCACUCCAGUCUGGGUGACAAAGUAAGACUCUUUCUCAAAAAACUAAAAAAAAAAAAAAUUAAACAUUGCAUUCUACAUGCAAGUGAAUCCUAGAAACUCAUAUACCCAACCGGCCCCUGAUAUGUGCAAUCUCAGGUGCAUAUAUUUGUUCAUACCCUACUGGAAUCAUCUGAGUUUGUUUGGGGCACAGUUCACGUCUCCAAUCUGGUACUACAUAUUCUUGUGUUUAAACUAAAAAUUCGAAAAAGUGAUAGCUUGAUGAUUCUAAAGACAAAGAAACAGGACUGGUUUCUUUAAUUCUGACAUUCUACAUGAACACUUGAACCUUUUAUUUGUGUUUAAAACUUAAAAUAGUGAAAUAGAGGGCACAAUGCCAAUAUUAUCAUUUGUUUCAUGGCAUUUUUUUGUUUUCUGGAAUGCUUUUCAUUUUCAUUGACAGGAGCAAGGGGUUAAAAGUGAUCUGCUUCAGGGUUGGGCACGUUGGUUUAUGCCUGUAAUCCCAGCACUUUGGAAGGUCAAGGAAGGAGAGUCACUUGAGCCCAGGAGUUUGAGACCCACCUGGGCAACAUAGGGGGACCCCCAUCUCUAUAAAAAAAUUUUUUUUUAAGAAAAAAAAGAUCUGCUGCAGUUAUCAAAUAUGCUCAAUAUAAGAGUGAGUAGAAUUAAGCUUUGAGGUAUUGGAAACUGUCUUAGGGCCGAGUGUGGUAACUCAUACCUGUAAUCUCAGCAUUUUGGGAGGCCAAGGCAGGCAAAUCACCUGAGGUUCAAGACCAGCCUGGCCAAUAUAUAGUCUCUACUGAAAAUACAAAAAGUAGCUGGGCAUGGUGGUGCACACCUGUAGUCUCAACUACCUCGGAAGCUGAGGCAGGAGAAUUGCUUGAAUCAGGGAGAUUGAGGUUGCAGGGAGCCAAGAUCUUGCCACUGCACUCCAGCCUGGGUGACACAGCAAGACCCCGGCUCUCAAAAAAAAGUAAAUAAGAAAUUACCUUAAACAUUGUAGAUCCACUUCCUGACUUUAGAAGCAAAAAAAGGAAGGCUCAGAACUUGCUGCCAUUAGUAAGGGUUUCGUGAGCGGGGGUUAAGGGACAGGCCCUCCUCCCUCCUAGUCUGUUGCUCCCGGCACUGCUUCUGAACCCUAUGUCUGUUUUCCUUUAGCAGACAGGUGAUAACUCAGAAAAACCAAGUUCCUCGUCCAAUGGCCACUAGUGACUCAGUGGCAGAAUAAGGCAUGGGAACCAGGACUCCUGACAGCUCCAGGGCUCUGACCGUUGUGCCCAGUUUCCCCUUUCCAGCUCUCAUUCAGCUACAGACAAAUCAAUUAUAGGCAACUAAUGAAUGUGCCACCUGACUUUCAGAUGGGAAGAGGGGAGCAUUAUUAAAAACAGACUUAAAAAGAGAGAGAGAGAGACAGACAGACAGAGAGAGAGAGAGAGAGAGAACUUGACACUAGAAACUUCAGCCAGAAUUCUAGCCACCAGAAACAUACUGGGAUACAACAUUUGGGAAGCAAGGGAACAAUUUCAGACACUGUUUUCCUCUAAUUUGGAAGGCAUCUUUGUUUUUUGUUUUGUUUUGUUUGAGACAGAGUCUAACUCUGUCACCCAGGCUGUGGUGCAGUGGUGUGAUCUCACUCACUGCAACCUCCGCCUCCCGGGUUCAAGUGAUUCUCCUGUCUCAGUCUCCUGAGCAGCUCGAUUACAAGCAUCUGGCACCAUGCCCAGCUAAUUUUUAUAUUUUUAGUAAAGCCAGGCUUUCACCAUGUUGGUCAGGCUGGUCUUGACCUCCUAACCUCAGGUGAUCUGCCCUCCUCAGCUUCCCAAAGUGCUAGGAUUACAGGCAUGAGCCACUGUGCCUGGCCUAAUUUGGGAGGCAUGUUUUGAUGGAAAGAAUAUUAGAAACUUAAGAUGCCCACAAAUAUGCUUAUCCUUAGUUUUUCUUUUCUUUUCCUUUCCUUUCCUUUCUUUUUUUUUUUUUUUUUUUUUUUAGAUGGGGUCUAACUCUGUUGAGUAGGCUGUAGUGCAGUGGCACAAUCACGAUUCACUGCAGCCUUGACCUCCCAGGCUCAAGUGUUCCUCCCACCUCAGCCUUCCCAGUAGCUGAAGCCACAGGUGUGUGCCAUCAUGCCCAGCUAAGUUUUAAAAAAAUUUUUAUAGAGACCAGGUCUCACUAUGUUGCUCAGGCUGGUCUCAAACUCCUAGGCUCAGCCUCCCAAAGUGCUGGAGUUAGAGGUGUGAGCCACUGCAUUGGCCCUUAGUUUUUCUAUGUACACAGAGAAAGCAAUAAUUAUCAGAGGGACACUGUUAUGAUGCAGUACACUGUCACACUGAGGAAAAGUUCAACAGAAAGAACUCUGUGGAAAGAUUUUCAUGAGCCAAAACACAACUCAUGAACCCCUGUUACUCAACUGCCAUGCCUGCCUUCUUUGAGCAGCUGUCUCCUAGCCUGCAGAGAAACUCAGAAACUAUCCUGAUUGCCGGGCGCGGUGGCUCACACCUGUAGUCCCAGCACUUUGGGAGGCCGAGGCGGGUGGAUCACGAGGUCAAGA